CUUACUCUGCUUCAUUCUGGGAGAACUUCAUCUGUCCUUCAGCGCACCAAACUGCCUGCUGCUCACUUAUAAAGUGAUCUUACAGCACAUCAUCUGCUCAGGAUGAAGAUUGUGGUUCUUCAGGUCAUACUCUUCCUCUGUUUCUGCAGCAGAUCUCAACAAAAGCCCUGUACAAACAGAGCAGACCAAAAUAAAUAUGGCAAUUUUCAACAUCGUCAUCUUCUAACCCAAAACAUUAACAAUGUCAAUGGGUGGAAACAGUACCUACUUAAUAAAAGGCUCUGUGGACGGCAACCUGUACAAUCCUUCAUCCACAGCACAGCAGAUGAAGUCGACAGUAUCUGCAGUGAAGCUGGUGGAUAUUACUGGAAAGAGAAUCUGUGUGUCAGCAGAGCUAAGUUCACUGUGACUACAGUUAGAGGCAGAGACAAAGGGUGUAAAGACAUUACAGUGGAAACACUGAAUAACGAGCCUGUGGCUGUGGCCUGUGAUCUUGAUAAUGGAAGAUGUGUGCCUGUUCACUAUGAAGCCAUUAGAAAUAAAAGUGAUGUACAGAGACUCACUGAACCCUGUAAGAGAUGAAUAUCACUCCUGAGGCCUCAGCAUCCUGAGGAUUUUAGAUUUAAGUGAGUGAGAAACCUGUUUAAUUGUUGUUGUUUAAUUCUCUCAUUUAUAUUUCAUACAUAUCAAGCAAAAAAGUCUCUUCUUUCUGUUCUCAAUAAAAAGUUGUAAUCAGUGAGCAUAAA